AGUGAACGCUGGCGGUAGGCCUAACACAUGCAAGUCGAACGGCAGCACAGUAAGAGCUUGCUCUUACGGGUGGCGAGUGGCGGACGGUUGAGGAAUACAUCGGAAUCUACUUUUUCGUGGGGGAUAACGUAGGGAAACUUACGCUAAUACCGCAUACGACCUACGGGUGAAAGCAGGGGAUCUUCGGACCUUGCGCGAUUGAAUGAGCCGAUGUCGGAUUAGCUAGUUGGCGGGGUAAAGGCCCACCAAGGCGACGAUCCGUAGCUGGUCUGAGAGGAUGAUCAGCCACACUGGAUCUGAGACACGGUCCAGACACCGACGGGAGGCCGCAGUGGGGAAUAUUGGACAAGGGGGGAAAGCCUGAUCCAGGCAUACCGCGUGGAUGAAGAAGGCCUUAGGGUUCUAGAGCACUUUUGUUGGGAAAGAAAAGCAGCAGGUUAAUACCCCGCUAUUCUGACGGUACCCAAAGAAUAAGCACCGGCUAACUUCGUG
rnacentral:rRNA from 1 species